GAUGAACGCUGGCGGCGUGCUUAACACAUGCAAGUCGAACGGAAAGGCCCAAGCUUGCUUGGGUACUCGAGUGGCGAACGGGUGAGUAACACGUGGGUGAUCUGCCCUGCACUUCGGGAUAAGCCUGGGAAACUGGGUCUAAUACCGGAUAGGACCACAUUUUGGAUGGUGUGGUGGAAAGUUUUUCGGUGUGGGAUGAGCUCGCGGCCUAUCAGCUUGUUGGUGGGGUAAUGGCCUACCAAGGCGUCGACGGGUAGCCGGCCUGAGAGGGUGUACGGCCACAUUGGGACUGAGAGACGGCCCAGACUCCGACGGGAGGCAGCAGUGGGGAAUAUUGCACAAUGGGCGCAAGCCUGAUGCAGCGACGCCGCGUGGGGGAUGACGGCCUUCGGGUUGUAAACUCCUUUCGCUAGGGACGAAGCGUUUUUGUGACGGUACCUGGAGAAGAAGCACCGGCUAACUACGUG
rnacentral:rRNA from 1 species